rnacentral:rRNA from 1 species
AACGAACGCUGGCGGCGUACUUAACACAUGCAAGUCGAGCGAGAAAGGGGGCUUCGGUCUCCGAGUAGAGCGGCGCACGGGUGAGUAACACGUGGAUAAUCUACCCUCAAGACUGGGAUAACUUGGGGAAACCCGGGCUAAUACCAGAUAAGCCUGCGGACUCUGCGGAGUCAGUAGGAAAAGGGGGCCUCUUCAUGAAAGCUUUCACUUGGGGAUGAGUCCGCGUCCCAUCAGCUUGUUGGUAGGGUAACGGCCUACCAAGGCAACGACGGGUAGCUGGUCUGAGGGGACGAUCAGCCACACUGGCACUGGAACACGGGCCAG